rnacentral:rRNA from 1 species
GACGAACGCUGGCGGCGUUCUUAACACAUGCAAGUCGAACGGAAAGGCCUCUUUCGGGGGGUACUCGAGUGGCGAACGGGUGAGUAACACGUGAGUAACCUGCCCUUGACUUUGGGAUAACUUCAGGAAACUGGGGCUAAUACCGGAUAGGAGCUCCUGCUGCAUGGUGGGGGUUGGAAAGUUUCGGCGGUUGGGGAUGGACUCGCGGCUUAUCAGCUUGUUGGUGGGGUAGUGGCUUACCAAGGCUUUGACGGGUAGCCGGCCUGAGAGGGUGACCGGCCACAUUGGGACUGAGAUACGGCCCAGACUCCUACGGGAGGCAGCAGUGGGGAAUAUUGCACAAUGGGUGGAAGCCUGAUGCAGCAACGCCGUGUGCGGGAUGACGGCCUUCGGGUUGUAAACCGCUUUCGCUCAUGACGAAGCUUUGUGUGACGGUAGUGGGUAAAGAAGCACCGGCUAACUACGUG